rnacentral:tRNA from 13 species
CUUCCCUGCCGGAGUCGAACCCGGCCGCUCUGGGUGAGAGCCAGGAAUCCUGACCGCUGACCACAUGGAU